UGCAAGUCGAACGCGGUUAUUCAGCAAUGGGUAACCGAGUGGCGAACGGGUGAGUAACACGUGGGUGACCUACCUUCGAGUGGGGGAUAACGUCCCGAAAGGGACGCUAAUACCGCAUAACAUUCUGCCUUUGAACAGGCGGUGAUCAAAGCCGGGGACCGUAAGGCCCGGCGCUUGAUGAGGGGCUCGCGUCUGAUUAGCUAGUUGGUGAGGUAACGGCCCACCAAGGCGACGAUCAGUAUCCGGCCUGAGAGGGCGGACGGACACACUGGGACUGAGACACGGCCCAGACUCCUACGGGAGGCAGCAGUGGGGAAUUGUUCACAAUGGGCGCAAGCCUGAUGACGCAACGCCGCGUGGAGGAUGAAGGUCUUCGGAUUGUAAACUCCUGUUGCUCGGGACGAAAAGCCUUGACCUAAUACGUCGAGGUCUGACGGUACCGAGUGAGGAAGCCCCGGCUAACUCUGUGCCAGCAGCCGCGGUAAUACAGAGGGGGCAAGCGUUGUUCGGAAUUACUGGGCGUAAAGGGCGCGUAGGCGGCCCGCUAAGUCGAACGUGAAAUCCCUGGGCUCAACCCAGGAACUGCGUCCGAUACUGGCAGGCUUGAAUCCGGGAGAGGGAUGCGGAAUUCCAGGUGUAGCGGUGAAAUGCGUAGAUAUCUGGAGGAACACCGGUGGCGAAGGCGGCAUCCUGGACCGGUAUUGACGCUGAGGCGCGAAAGCCAGGGGAGCAAACGGGAUUAGAUACCCCGGUAGUCCUGGCCCUAAACGAUGAAUGCUUGGUGUGGCGGGUAUCGAUCCCUGCCGUGCCGAAGCUAACGCAUUAAGCAUUCCGCCUGGGGAGUACGGUCGCAAGGCUG
rnacentral:rRNA from 1 species